rnacentral:lncRNA from 1 species
UCCUCCCAUCCUCCUCAGCAUGUGGCAGCAUCCCCCUUCCCCUUCCCCAGGUUGUUGUUUUCUCCUCAAUCCAAGGCAAUGAUGGGGGCUCGAGCAAAGAUGACGGCGGCAAUGGUUUGGUUGGUGUGAUAACGACUCCCACUCCCCCUCGCCCUCUUUGUUUCUCGGGCGUCGAUGCAUCGAUGGCGUCACCUCCAACUCAGGGGUCGUUGGAUGUGCCCCCCCCCUCCAACAGCGAUGGUGAUGGCGGUCCGACUACGGCGAGCAGUGGCCCUCCCUUUGACCCUGCCUCCCUGUGAGCAAUGACUAGCAGGUAGGUAUCCCUCCUCUCCUUCCCCAUCCAUCCCUCCCAAAAAAAAAAUCCCCUCACUAUGUAUUCUGGAUUUGACAGUGGUGGUGAGCGGUAAUGCCUUGGCCUCCAAUAAACAGCGGCGGUGGCGGCAGUGGUUUUUGUGAGAAUUUGUUAUUUGGUUUCUUCUUAUUGGAUCUGUGAGAAUUUUUAUUCAGCUUUUGUCCCUGUUGUUCUUGGCCUGAAGCAUUGAGUACCCGAAGCAUCAACUCGAUUUGAGCCGAUGCGAGCCUCUUUUUUUUUUAUUCCUAUAACCAUCAAAGGUACUGAUUCUUAAACCCGUACCUUUAAUUGUUCACAUCGGUAUUGUCUAGAGGAUGCGGGUAGGAAAUCCGGUGCUUAUGGACUGUUCCCAACCGGUACCAAUAAGAUUUUUUUAAAGCAGUGCUGGGAACCAUAUUGGUCCAGGUUUGUCUGCAU